UCUAAAGAGGUGGGGAGGGAGACAAUUGAAUGGCUAAAUGAGGAGCUUUUGAAAAUCUGAAUAUGUUAAGAUAGCUGUUUAAAUAUCAGCACUGGGAAACUGUUUUGUUUUUUUUUUUGUUUUGUUUUUUAGCCAAGAACUUGCUAUAUUCUGCCAAAACAAUACUAUAUUCUGCUUACAAAAUCACCUCAUUUGCCUAUGUUAUUAAAACUUCACAAAUUAAAACCCAGGCAUUUCAAUGGGCACACCAGCUGUCAGAUCCCAGUGGAUUACAAGUGGCAAAAUCUACACCCAUAAUCCUGCCCAGCGGGUCAAUGUGGGCACAUGAAAGCUAUCAACAAGUAUGUGUCUGAAGGGAAGAAAACUGAAGAAGAGCUCUCUAUAAGCUCAAAAGCUUGUCUCUCUCAGCAACAGAAGUUGGCCCAAUAAAAGACAUUACCUCACCCUACUUGUCUCUCAAAUAUUUCAAACUCUAAACUCUUUUGUUCCAAUGUCAGCUCUCAGCUUAACUGUUCUGAGGAUAUGGCUACACUGGAAACUUCAAAGCACUGCCGCGGGAACACUCCCGUGGCAGCGCUUUGAAGUGCAAGUGUGGUCACGCGCAAGCGCUGGGAGACCUCCUGGUAAUCCACCUCCACAAGGAGAUUAGCUCCAAGCGCUGGGAGCGUGGCUCCCAGCGCUUGGAGCCUGUCCACACUCGCGCUUUAAAGCACUCAGACUUGCUGCGCUCAGGGGGUUGAUUUUUCACACCCCUGAGCCAGCAAGUUGGAGCGCUAUAAAAUGUAAGUGUAGACAUACCCUGAGCCAGUGGGAAUUAAA